UAAAUUUCUUAUUUAAAACAAGAGGGCCGA
rnacentral:piRNA from 1 species